UACGUAGGGUGCAAGCGUUAAUCGGAAUUACUGGGCGUAAAGCGUGCGCAGGCGGUGAUGUAAGACAGAUGUGAAAUCCCCGGGCUCAACCUGGGAACUGCAUUUGUGACUGCAUCGCUAGAGUAUGGCAGAGGGGGGUAGAAUUCCACGUGUAGCAGUGAAAUGCGUAGAGAUGUGGAGGAAUACCGAUGGCGAAGGCAGCCCCCUGGGUCAAUACUGACGCUCAUGCACGAAAGCGUGGGGAGCAAACAGG
rnacentral:rRNA from 1 species